rnacentral:rRNA from 1 species
GGGUUGUGAGGUUAAGCGACUAAGCGUACACGGUGGAUGCCCUGGCAGUCAGAGGCGAUGAAGGGCGUGCUAAUCUGCGAUAAGCGCCGGUAAGGUGAUAUGAACCGUUAUAACCGGCGAUACCCGAAUGGGGAAACCCAGUGUGAUUCGUCACACUAUCAUUAACUGAAUCCAUAGGUUAAUGAGGCGAACCGGGGGAACUGAAACAUCUAAGUACCCCGAGGAAAAGAAAUCAACCGAGAUUCCCCCAGUAGCGGCGAGCGAACGGGGAGGAGCCCAGAGCCUGAAUCAGCAUGUGUGUUAGUGGAAGCGUCUGGAAAGGUGCGCGAUACAGGGUGACAGCCCCGUACACAAAAGCGCAUGUGCUGUGAGCUCGAUGAGUAGGGCGGGACACGUGGUAUCCUGUCUGAAUAUGGGGGGACCAUCCUCCAAGGCUAAAUACUCCUGACUGACCGAUAGUGAACCAGUACCGUGAGGGAAAGGCGAAAAGAACCCCGGCGAGGGGAGUGAAAAAGAACCUGAAACCGUGUACGUACAAGCAGUGGGAGCACAGGUUUACCUGUGUGACUGCGUACCUUUUGUAUAAUGGGUCAGCGACUUAUAUUCUGUAGCAAGGUUAACCGUAUAGGGGAGCCGGAGGGAAACCGAGUCUUAACCGGGCGUUAAGUUGCAGGGUAUAGACCCGAAACCCGGUGAUCUAGCCAUGGGCAGGUUGAAGGUUGGGUAACACUAACUGGAGGACCGAACCGACUAAUGUUGAAAAAUUAGCGGAUGACCUGUGGCUGGGGGUGAAAGGCCAAUCAAACCGGGAGAUAGCUGGUUCUCCCCGAAAGCUAUUUAGGUAGCGCCUCGUGAAUUCAUCUCCGGGGGUAGAGCACUGUUUCGGCUAGGGGGCCAUCCCGGCUUACCAACCCGAUGCAAACUGCGAAUACCGGAGAAUGUUAUCACGGGAGACACACGGCGGGUGCUAACGUCCGUCGUGAAGAGGGAAACAACCCAGACCGCCAGCUAAGGUCCCAAAGUCAUGGUUAAGUGGGAAACGAUGUGGGAAGGCCCAGACAGCCAGGAUGUUGGCUUAGAAGCAGCCAUCAUUUAAAGAAAGCGUAAUAGCUCACUGGUCGAGUCGGCCUGCGCGGAAGAUGUAACGGGGCUAAACCAU